AUCCGGUAAGUAAGGCUACCGCAGGGAUAUGGAUUGCUGCCGCGAAGUGGUGGAGACACCAUGAGAGGGUCAACAGGUGAUAUCGAAGCACAAGGUAUUCUAACGCAAUUGCACCGCCCUGCGAAGCUGAAGCUCGAACGGUGC
rnacentral:sRNA from 1 species